AAUAAAGGAAAGGGAAAAAAUCUCGCUUACAGGAGCUGAUUUAGACUUCCAGCACGGUGGCGCCACUGUCAUUCCACCAUCUGCAACUCUUUCUGGCAUCCUUGCUUCUUCUUCAUAUGCCCCCCCUGUUAGCUAGGGUUUUUGGGGCUGAUGGAGGAGGUGAUUAAAUACUCCUGGCCAAAAGAUCACGACUGUUCGAU
rnacentral:lncRNA from 1 species